CGGUUCCCGCCGGUGCCUCUCCCUCCACACCUCCCGGCAAACUGAGGGAGCCGGCUCCGGCCUGUGCCAGCCCAGAGACGGGCUCCCACAGUGCAGCGGGGGGCUGGAGGGCCCCUCAAACACGGCCAGAGUGGGUGCCAAGGCCGAGGAGGCGCCGAGAGCGAGCCAGGGCUACGAGGCUGCCAGCACGCUGUCACCUCUCAGUAGGAGCACAAACCCUAUUGUGAACUACGAGUGUGAAGAGUCUAGGUUAUCUGCUCCUUAUGAGACUCGAAUGCCUGAUGAUCUGUCAUUGUCUCUCAUCACGCCCAGAUGGGACCAUCUGGUUGAAGGAAAACAAGCUCAGGGCUUCCACUGAUACUACAUUAUGAAAAUGUUUCGAUAUGCUGACAAAUAACUAAGAACGCUGACAUAUUUGGGUCCAAACUGAAAGAAAGAAUGGGUUCUGCUGCUGCAGUUCAUCUCCAGCAAUAACACAGAACAAUGGUGCGCCGCAGUUCAUCUCUAGCAAUAACACAGAACAAUGGCGAGUACAAGCAAUGCUAACUCUGGAACAGAACUGGCAGUGAUCGGAUAAUCGGCUCUCUUCUCUGAAGCUAGAAUAUCAGGUGAAAUAAAUGGCUUUAAAAAAUGUUUAAAUAUAUAUGUAUAUAUAUAUAUACACACACGGAAGCAAUAUAACUUAGGGUAUAUAUUAUAUAAUUAUAUAAUUUUUCACUAUUCUAUGAAUUACUUUUCAUUAAUAAAGUCUUUUAGUAUGUUGAGUAUUUUUUCUUAUUGAUAUAUUUGUUUUGUGUAAGAAGUCUUUAUAUAUUUGUUUGAG
rnacentral:lncRNA from 10 species